GACGAACGCUGGCGGCGUGCCUAAUACAUGCAAGUAGAACGCACAGUUUAUACCGUAGCUUGCUACACCAUAGACUGUGAGUUGCGAACGGGUGAGUAACGCGUAGGUAACCUGCCUGGUAGCGGGGGAUAACUAUUGGAAACGAUAGCUAAUACCGCAUAAUAUUAAUUAUUGCAUGAUAAUUAAUUGAAAGGUGCAAUUGCACCACUACCAGAUGGACCUGCGUUGUAUUAGCUAGUAGGUGAGGUAACGGCUCACCUAGGCGACGAUACAUAGCCGACCUGAGAGGGGGAACGGCAACACGGGGACGGAGACACGGCCCAAACUCCAACGGGAGGCAGAGGUAGGGAAUCUUCGGAAAUGAACGAAAGUCUGACCGAGAAACGCCGCGUGAGUGAAGAAGGUUUUCGGAUCGUAAAGCUUGGUUGAAAGAGAAGAACGGGUGGGAGAGUGGAAGUUCACACUGUGACGGUAUCUUACCAGAAAGGGACGGCUAACUACGUG
rnacentral:rRNA from 1 species